CAAUGACUAGAGUGGCGAACUGGUGAGUAACACGUAAGAAACCUGCCCUUUAGUGGGGGAUAACAUUUGGAAACAGAUGCUAAUACCGCGUAACAACAAAUCACACAUGUGAUCUGUUUGAAAGGUCCUUUUGGAUCGCUAGAGGAUGGUCUUGCGGCGUAUUAGCUUGUUGGUAGGGUAGAAGCCUACCAAGGCAAUGAUGCGUAGCCGAGUUGAGAGACUGGCCGGCCACAUUGGGACUGAGACACUGCCCAAACUCCUACGGGAGGCUGCAGUAGGGAAUUUUCCGCAAUGCACGAAAGUGUGACGGAGCGACGCCGCGUGUGUGAUGAAGGCUUUCGGGUCGUAAAGCACUGUUGUAAGGGAAGAAUAACUGAAUUCAGAGAAAGUUUUCAGCUUGACGGUACCUUACCAGAAAGGGAUGGCUAAAUACGUGCCAGCAGCCGCGGUAAUACGUAUGUCCCGAGCGUUAUCCGGAUUUAUUGGGCGUAAAGCGAGCGCAGACGGUUUAUUAAGUCUGAUGUGAAAUCCCGAGGCCCAACCUCGGAACUGCAUUGGAAACUGAUUUACUUGAGUGCGAUAGAGGCAAGUGGAACUCCAUGUGUAGCGGUGAA
rnacentral:rRNA from 1 species